rnacentral:rRNA from 1 species
UACGAAGGGGGCUAGCGUUGUUCGGAUUUACUGGGCGUAAAGCGCACGUAGGCGGAUCGUUAAGUCGGGGGUGAAAUCCUGGAGCUCAACUCCAGAACUGCCUUCGAUACUGGCGAUCUUGAGUCCGGAAGAGGUGAGUGGAACUCCUAGUGUAGAGGUGGAAUUCGUAGAUAUUAGGAAGAACACCAGUGGCGAAGGCGGCUCACUGGUCCGGUACUGACGCUGAGGAGCGAAAGCGAUGGGGAG